rnacentral:rRNA from 1 species
GACGAACGCUGGCGGCGUGCCUAAUACAUGCAAGUCGAACGAGAAAUUCUUACACCGGAUGCUUGCAUCCACCGUAAGAUUUCGAGUGGCGGACGGGUGAGUAACACGUGGGUAACCUGCCCAAAAGAAGGGGAUAACAUUUGGAAACAAGUGCUAAUACCGUAUAACCAUGAUGACCGCAUGGUCAUGAUGUAAAAGGUGGUUUUGCUAUCGCUUUUGGAUGGACCCGCGGCGUAUUAACUAGUUGGUAAGGUAACGGCUUACCAAGGUGAUGAUACGUAGCCGAACUGAGAGGUUGAUCGGCCACAAUGGGACUGAGACACGGCCCAUACUCCUACGGGAGGCAGCAGUAGGGAAUAUUCCACAAUGGGCGCAAGCCUGAUGGAGCAACGCCGCGUGAGGGACGACGGCCUUCGGGUUGUAAACCUCUUUUAGUAGGGAAGAAGGGAGCUUGCUCUUGACGGUACCUGCAGAAAAAGCACCGGCUAACUACGUGCCAGCAGCCGCCGUAACAC